UCCAUGAAGAUAACCAAGAUGGAUAAGAUGCAGUUUGGAUUUUUUUGGCCUAAGAAAUGAUAAAAACAACUGCUUCUUUCAGUGUCAGUUGCCAAAUGCCACGGACUACUAUUUCAUUCCGUUUGUUGGUCCUGAUUUCACAUUAUUCUUGGUGGCAGGACCAUUUUAGGAUGCAAAAUGUGCAUACUAUCAUAUCAUUGGUUUUGAUAUUGUAGCUCAACAUUCCCCCUCCAUCCUGUUUUUCUUGGACAUUUGUUGUCCUCUUUUCUUUUUCUGGCUUCCCUCUCCUCCACUCCCCAGCAUUCACUCUCUCUAACCGCCCACUGCAGGGGAUGGGCGAGUGUGUGUGGAGUGUGUGGGAGAGAAAGAAAGACGAAAGAGAGAAAGAAAGAAAGGAAGAGUCAAAUAUGUCUCUUUCCGAAACAAAUGAACGGAGAGCUAAAUAUACUCCGACUGACAAAUGAACUCUGCGGUGAAUUAUGGCCUCGUGACAAAUCUCAUCACACUAUUUCUCCUCUUCAACCUGUUUAAAUAAAGAUUUUCCUCUUCAUGUGUAUUCUUAGUCACUGGAACUGAGACAGCGAGAGGGUUAUGGACUUAUUACAUCAAAUUAAAAUGUAACAAUAAGGGGCAGAUGUAUUUUUAAUCAAGCGUAUAACAGUGUGAAACAGCAAAUCAACACAGAUUUGUUGGGUAUGUUUUCAUAUCUGAAAGCAUGACAGAGCCAGAGAGCAUGUCUGUUCCACAUUAUGUAACACUUUAGACUGUACAAAUCCUACAAGCCAGUGUUAUGAACGGUUCUGUUACCCUCCCCCACCACCAAAUCCAGCCUCCACUCCUUCCAUCUCUUUCACUUUUCUCUUUCUGCUUACAUUUGGCUCCAUUCAUUGUUUUUUCUUAAAUUCACCUACAACACUUUUAAAGGGCCGGUUUGUGGGAUUUAGUGGAUCUAUUAAGAGUAAUGGAAUAUAAUAGUCAUUAUUAUGUUUGCUGAGUCCACCAUGUUGUUACGCCAUGUUUCUACAGUAGCCUAGAACGGACAAACCAAACACUGGCUCUAGAGAGAGACUUUCACGUUUUUUUACAUUACCUGAAGGCCACCGUAGUUCUCCAACACGCUUGGAAAGGAAGGGGUGAGCGGAGGGGUAUUCGGUUGGUUGCAAUCUGCAACCACACCGCUAGAUGGCACUAAAUCCUUCACACUGGUCUUUUAAGGAUGAAAAAAAAAUGCU